rnacentral:rRNA from 1 species
AUUGAACGCUGGCGGCAGGCUUAACACAUGCAAGUCGAGCGGAGCGAGGGUGCUUGCACCUUAGCUUAGCGGCGGACGGGUGAGUGAUGCUUAGGAAUCUGCCUAUUAGCGGGGGACAACAUUCCGAAAGGAAUGCUAAUACCGCAUACGCCCUACGGGGGAAAGCAGGGGAUCUUCGGACCUUGCGCUAAUAGAUGAGCCUAAGUCGGAUUAGCUAGUUGGUGGGGUAAAGGCCUACCAAGGCGACGAUCUGUAGCGGGUCUGAGAGGAUGAUCCGCCACACUGGGGCUGAGACACGGCCCAGACUCCUACGGGAGGCAGCAGUGGGGAAUAUUGGACAAUGGGCGGAAGCCUGAUCCAGCCAUGCCGCGUGUGUGAAGAAGGCCUUUUGGUUGUAAAGCACUUUAAGCGAGGAGGAGGCUACUUAGAUUAAUACUCUGGGAUAGUGGACGUUACUCGCAGAAUAAGCACCGGCUAACUCUGUGCCAGCAGCCGCCGUAACAC